rnacentral:pre_miRNA from 1 species
UCUUAUGGAUGAGCAAAGAAAGUGGUUUCUUAAGAUGGGGUCUACUCCUGGUGAAAAUGCUGUGAA